AGGGGUCGAAAAUAGUAAUAGCAGUGACAUUACUCUAAUAUUGGUUUUGAUAACGUCAGCCAUAACGAUUGCAGUAUCAGUCUUAAUUUUUUGUAUAUAUCGAAAGGAAAAAAUGUGCUUUAAUAACAACAGGUACGUGACAAGUAUUUUAAGAUAUUAUGCAUACUUAAAUCAGUACACAUGAAUAUUUUACAAUUAAUCGUCAGUUUCCCGAAGUAUAUAAUAGUGCAGAUGCAAAACUAUUAAAAUUUGCAUUGUAAAUAAGUUUUUUGCUUUCAUUGAUCAUCCUGGGUCAACGCAUUAGAUGUAUCUUAAGUCACAAUGAUUACUAUAUCUUAAGGUUGUAUUUUCUAACCUUAUUAAAUGCCAUUACCUUAAUCAACAUUAUUAUCAAUUAUCGUGUUGUUUAAGAAAUAAAUUUCUUGAUUUACUUUAUCGGUUCUGCAACUUGGCUAACAAAGGGAAAACCCAAACGGUUGAAGACUGAAACGGAACAUCCAUUACAAACUUAAAAUGCGAACACGAUUGGAUUAUUUUGAAUAAUCUCAUAUUUAAAGGAAUAUCAUAUGUAAUGAAAAAAACAUGUAAAAAUUGUUCCAAAUCCUUUUAGAAACAGUAUGUUUAAAUUUCAAUAGUAUUAAGGAAUUUAAUUUCUAUGAUUUGAUAUACUUUCCCUCUAAAAACGAAACUCUUUACACUUCAUUGUUUCCAUCGUUCUUUAGGCAUUGACAAACUCACAAAAAAGACAUUUUUUUUCAAAUUAUGAUUAAACAUGCAGAUAUCUUUUACAGAAAUAUAAGAUAUUUUCUCUACAUUUUAUCCAAAAUUGGGACCUAGCUUUCGUUUGGUGUCGCCUGCGACGAAUGUCGUGGAAAACGAAAUAUAGGGAUUGCUUUUCCAGCGACAGCGCUAGCGUCAAUAAAUAUUAAGUAUCCUGCCAAAGUUAGUUUUAUAGAAUUUAUUAGUAAUAGAUAAUUGAUAUUAAAUAUAGAUUAUCAAUCAGUUUGCUAAUAUAAUUUUAGGCCCUGUCCCUGCCACCCGCUUUCCUCUUUUUCCCUGCCGGUCAUGGUGUAGUGACACUUGACUAAUUGUGAUAGAUCAUUGGUUAUGGUCUAGCGACCUUGAAUUAAUUAGCAAUAUUCAAUGUUUAGUUUUCUGCUCAAGUUGGUUUUGAUAUGAUCCAUAUGUGAACUUGCGAUAGAUCUUUGAAAUUUAAUAUAAAGUUUCAUAACUGUCAGUAUAUAUCACAGUUUGACGUCUUUUGAUGCCAAUCCCUAAGUCCCUGCGACAUUGAAUGAAUAACCAAUUUUCAAUGUCAAUUUUUCCUAUAUGAUUUUUUUUAUGAACAACUUGCAAUAUUCACUUCUAUAAAGUAACAUGCAUGUCUGUACAUCUCAGUUUAGUCUAGUGGCUUUGAAUUAUUAAGCAAUGUUGAAUUACGUUUGAUUGUCUUUUACUGAAUUAUAUACCAACAGCCGAGACAUAUCUGCGUUUCAUCAAUUUAUUAGAGAAUGUAAAUUUCUCUGGUUUAAUUGUUUUAGAUUAAAUAAACAAGCAUUUGAUGGAUUGACUACUUGAUUGGUCGAUUACUGCUUGUUUUAAGUCAAGAUUUUGAACUAAAGAGCCCACUGAACAUCACCAUAAAAGAAAAAAUAUAAAACAUAAGGAAAGGAAAAGUCGUCUAUUUGUCGCAUAUUUUGCCGAAUAAUAAUGUUAAAAUACGGCAUAUGCCAUUAUUUAUGCAUAUUUCCUCUGUAAAACGACUGAACUUGAAUAACAUUUAUACAGAUAUUAACACGUUGGACUUAAAGCAAAGUUUAUGAAAAAAAAUUAACAAAUCAUUUAUGACAAAUAAUAAAUAUAACAAAAAUAUUGAAAGAUAACUUUGUGUAAAUUCUUUACACUAUGUGCACUCUUUUUACUGUUACAUAUACCAACAGGCGCAUACAUAUAACACAUAUAGUACGAUUUUCAUAAUUAACUUUCACUGAUAACUCAAACAUAAUCAGUGUUGACCAAUGUGCCCUUGCUUAUGAACGAACACGUCCGAUACUUACUUCAUACUUUAAUUACAUAUCGUCGCUGGGCUUCUAAAAUAUCGUAUAUGACUUUUUUGGCUAAAAAUACUUUUUGACACCAAUGUUCUGGGUGGGAGGAAAUCUUUGGUAUUACAAAAUAGCAUACAGUUAGACCAAUCAAAAUGUGUGAAAUAAGACAUAUUACAAAAUUGCCAAUGUCAGUUGUUUGUAAAGUUUGCUUCCAAAAUGUUGUAUGAAAACUUUAAAAUCUUUGUAGAAUGGCUUUGGGAAAAAAAUAAUUGUACUUUUCUUUAUUUCUGUGAAAAUAAUUUAAGUUCUUGGAUAAUCCAGAAAUGUCGAAAUGUCACUGCUAUUUACACAAAUGUUCAAGUUCACAUACGGCAUUUUGGAAGCAUGCAUUUUGCAAAAUUUUCAAACCUGUUUGUGAGAUAUUUUUUUCUUGAAAAAUUUGUAAUUUACAACAUUUUAGAAGCCCAGCGACGAUAUGUUACUUCUCCUGGCGCCUCUGUGAAGUAUACUAUACAACUACCGCAAACGUUAUUACCAAUUUCAUUAAAACUGACAUGUCCUUAUAGUGCAAAUUCUCCUGAAACUAUAAAAAAUGAUGUAAAAGAAACACAAUAAGCAUAAUAACCAAUUUAAAAAAAAAACGAAGAAAUGACAAACAAAUCCACAAACACUAAACAUGAAACUUAACACUUCUUCAAUAGGAUGUCCACGGUAAAGUGGUUGUGUAAAAAGUGCAUAUGUCUAGUUUAAUAUAGCCAUAAAAGUGCAAAGUGUCAACCAACCAUUUUUUCUCUAAAAAUGUCCUGUACCAAGUCGGGAAAAUGACAGUUGUUCUCUUAUACUUCGGUUCUCUGUGUGUUACUUUGUCAUUUGUAUUUUUGUUGCAUUUCAGUGUUUUUAUUGUUUCUUUGUUUUCUCUUACAGCUUUCCUCGGUUUUAGUUUGUAACCCAGAUUUGUUUUUCUCUCAAUCAAUUUAUGACUUUCGAACAUUGGUAUAUUGUCGUGUCAUAUGUUUUUGCAUCAUCCAUAUUUCAUCUGUUUUGAUUGAACACGCGUAUAUUGUGACGGGUUUUCGGUUUCUAUAUUUGGAAUAACACCAACACUACAACUUUACAAAUUCAAAACAUAUUCAAAGUCACUUUUAACGACUUUAGAAUAAAGGAGUAGGUUCAGUAAGACCUCUUUUUGGUUCCCAAAUAUAGCAGUUUUACAAUAUUGUUAAAAUGUAAUUUUUUAGUUAUUAAUUGGACAGUAGAAUGCUUCUGCUACAUAAAUAUGGCUGUUUUUGACAAUACAAUGCACAUAUAUCCGGUACUAGCACCAUUAGGUCCUGCUAAAUUACUGAAAUCUUUAUAAUUCUAGCAUUUUAGGUAAAUUCUAGACGGUUUUCGUGUAAAACGAAAUUGGCCGCAUUCGUGUUCAUCCUUAAUAUUGAAAUGUAAGUUGUAUUUGACGAUAAUAUAUAACAUAUAUAAAGGUUGAGGAUAAACACGGAUGCGGUCACUUUCAUUUUUACCAAAAACCAUCUGAAAAGUGACAUUUUUCGGCAUAUUUGGUAGAUUUUUCAUAUUUGAGCUUGAAUCGGAUCGUUUUUAAUGACUAAAUCAGUUAAAAUUUUUCACAUAAACUAAUUGAUUAAAAUGAAAUAGACACUUAAGUGUUUAAAGUUUAAAGUGUCAGAGAUGAACCUGAAAUUUGAGGCCAAAAUCGUUCCUUACCGGACCUACUCCUUUGAUAAAACUGAUCUGCUUAGCCAUUUUUAUGUAAUGUAAAAAAAAUAUGCAUGAAUGGAAUAGUUGUUUAGAAAUAUUCUGGGUUGCGUGAAGUACAGAUAUGUCGUGUGAAUGUCAGACACCGGAUCUUCCAGACAUGUGACUGUCAUGUUGUUUUUUUUUUUUUUUUUUUUUUUUUUUUCGUUUUUAUUACAAACUAGCGAUUUGUAAUUAACAGCAUCUUAUAUAAAUUGGUUGUUCAAGCUUCAUUCUUUUUAUAUUCUUUUGACAAUUUUUUUAUUCACCCAAUAUACAUAAAGAUGAAAACAGUCUGAGUUUUUUUUUACACUUAAUCAUUACUUUUAAAAAUUGCAUUUUAAAAUCCGAAAAAUAAUGGGGUUUCUUUUGUAGAAAUCCAGCCCAAUCUGCAAAAAUAAUCACAAUGUUACAAUUUCAGCACAUUAAACAUCAACCAAAACCUAUUUAUUAGUUAAGUUUAGUACUGAAAAGAAUUAAAUAACUUUUUAUGAUAUAAGCAAUUACCACAACCACGAUUUUAGAAAAUAUCCAUUUCUGGAAUUAAUAUUCAUUUCCUGUCCUUGUACUGUUCCAGUUUAUACUUCAUGCGAAAACAUAUGACGCCGUGUUUUGAUAUACGAAAAUCGCAAAAUAAUCGGAAACAGUAGAAAAACGAAGUAAGCCUUGACAAAAAAAUCUAAAUACCUAAAAACAUUCGACAGAAUAUGCUUUUGAAAUUUGAGUACACUACACACGUGUAUAAAAGUUCAACAGUGAAAACCGUAAGGUAAGCAGUGAAAGUUGUUAUAAGUACAAAAACACAUCUACUGUUGCCUUUAUAUAAGUAUAGACAUGACAUUCGAUCCCCUAUAGUGAUAGAGUGACAAAAUAUCUGCACUUUACGAGGCCAUUGUUAUCACUAUUUGAGUGGUUAUGGGUAACCUAUUGCGGAGUCAAACUUAUACAUUCCAUAUACAGUCAAAAUGUCCUAGUAUUCAGUGAACGACACAACCAGUACAUGCAGUAGCGCCUUAUGUGAUUGAGUUUGAUUUUUUCUCGCUCUGGACAUUCAUUUUUGUUGGUCACUAAAGGGCCAGUAUAAAACAAAUGAUAAUGUGAAGGUAGAUCUGAUAUUGCAUUUAGUCAUUUAUACCUACGAGGGUCUUUUGUCGACCUGUCCCGAUUUAUAAUUUUCACCUAGGUAACAAAAGUCGAUCAUGAAGUGUAAAUCGACACCAGCUUAUUUAGCCAAACACCAAAUAUAUUUAAGAUAUAUCACAGGGAAUGUUUAAGUCUUCCUUUCGAUAGACAUGCACAUUUUCAAAUCUUAUACUGUUAAGUAGGUGUGGUUUUUUUUUGUGAAAGACAGAUUUUACAGAUAUUAAGUAAACAUUGAUGUACAAAAGUAUAUUGUAGGGGGAGAGCUUUCCAAAUAUAGGGCGGAAUUAAUGUGACUUUGAAUGGGGAACUACACAGUUGCCGUGAACAACAACAUGUAAUAACAAUUACAAAAGCAAGAACAGACAUAUUCAACAUCAUCAUAGUAUUGGCGAAGAAAAGGAAAUUUGUUUUGAGCCAACUAUAAAUUCGUAUAUAACCAACUAAAGUAUUGUUAUAUAUGAAUCAAAAGGAUGUACUAUCAAGUAAAAGUGUGUUUUAUUGGUUAUUUAAAAUUAUUUAAAGAUAGAUAUUGUUAACAAGUUUGCUCUUUGGUAACAGGAUACACGAUACAUGUAGCAUCCUCACAUAUUAUUUUUUUUGCUAACUGUUUUUAUUGUAUAAAAUGCUUGCGCGUCUGGUGUAAUACAUUUUCAUCCUGGUACCUUAGAUAACUAUUAACACCAAUAGGUCGAUGCCACUGCUGAUUUAAGUUUCGUCCCCGACGGUAACACCUGCCGAGAAGUCAGCACUUUGGUGUUGAAAUAAAUAUCAAUUAUGAAUUCAUUUUAAUAAAUUUCCUGUUACAAAACUUUAAUUUUUUUCGCAAAAAUAACAAAUUUCUUAUCCCAGGAAUAGAUAACCAUAGCCUUAUUCGGAACAACUUUUUCAAAUUUUGGGUCCUCAUGCUCUUUAACUUUGUGCUUGUUUGAAUUUACAACUAUUUAGAUCUAAGCGACACUGCUGAGUUUUAUGUAGACGCGCGUAUGGUGUACCAAAUCAUAAUCCUGUUACCUUUGAUUACUGCUUUUUUUAUACACUUUUUCUAUCCUUUUUAAUACAAAAUUAAAUUUUUCAUCAAGCUAAGUGUGAAUGAUUCUUGCGUUAUCUAGUAUCACGUAAAUACGUUUUUUUUUAUUCAGGUUAGUCACAGUCAUGACUUUACGGCUAAAAGUAGAACAUAAAGUUAAAAUUAAUUCUCUCACUUUUAUAACUAUAGUAUAUAGAGAAAAUGGAACAGGGGAAUAUAUUCAGAAUAGCAAAAUAUAUCUACUUCUUGUAAACUCUGUAAAAUGGUUAUUGUCCUCAAAUGACGAUUUUUGCCUGACUUUUUUUUUUUGUUUUUUUGCCCAUUAUCCUACAUACAUGCUAGUCUGAUUGAAUCUAUGUGAUAACUCUUAUAAGGAGAUCUUUUGAUUUAAGAAUGAUCUUACGAUAUAUGAAAGUUUUAUUUUGUGUUGAAUGUGUAAAAUAUAAAUGUAUGUUUGGGAGUAGUUUUUGUCCUCAAUGAAAAAUAGAAUUAAUAUGUAUGGCAAGGAUAUGAAAUAUUUCAUAAUCCACGAGUACUGCUAUAUCAUGUAUAUUGUUGCAGCAAAUAAUAUUGCAAAAUAUCACAUUUGAUAAGAUAAAUAUCAGUUAUUUUGUACUGUAUAUACUGGCAUAUUGUUUUAUUUUGUGUUGAAUGUGUAAAAUAUGAAAGUAUUUUUGGGAGUAAUUGUUGUCCUCAAUGAAAAAAAGUAUUAAUAUUUAUGGUUAGGAUAUGAAAUAUUUCAUAAUCCACGAGUGUUGUUAUAUUGAUGUAUGAACGAUAACAUCAUCAUCAUUAUCGCGGUCGUUAUCAUGUUCAUCGUUGCAGCCGCCGUCACCAUCAUCGUCAUCGUUGCAGCAAAUAAUAUUGCAAAAUAUCACAUUUGAUAAGAUAAAAAUCAGUUAUUUUGUACUGUAUAUUGUUGACUUUUACAUUUAUCGCUUACUUACUAUAGUAUUGUGUAGACUCUAAACAUGUUCAUUUUAUUAUUCAACUGUAGAUUUUUGUAUAUAUCGUUCUGACAGGUCCGAGACUUUGGAAUUUAUAAGUAAUAGUAUAUCUUUGAUAGUUGUAUUACUGUGACAUAUUUAAUGCAUCUCUCGUUGUUUCUAGCAAUGAGAAACGUCAAAUUAUAACGUCCUAUUUCGCGUUCUUCACGAAUUCCAACAUGGUGUACGCUUAAAAAUACGUCUCCCAAGAAAAUAGGAAUUAAGCGUUGCGCUGAUAUCUUGUGGAAAUUUAACACAAAUGGACACAAAAGAUACUACACUAUAUAUAACCUUCUUUCUAAUAAAAAUAAUGAAUUUUAAUCACGAUUUUUUUUUUGCGCCGAUCUGCAUCUCAUUUUUUUAUUCUUUCACAUGCGUAUAGAUUUUGUCUUAUAUUUGCGCCAAUCUGCAUUUCAUUUGUUUUUAUUCUUUCACUUGUGUAGAUUUUGUCUUUCAUUCGCGCCGAUUGUGUACAGGUUACCGGGGUUAUUAGAAUGGUGAGAGUUAUUUUUAUGUCCAAUUUAUGUUUUCUGGUCUGUGCGUCCGUUUGUCCGUUCGUUCGUCCGUCCGUCCAGCUUCAGGUUAAAGUUUUUGGUCAAGGUAGUUUUUGAUGAAGUUGAAGUCCUUAAAAUUUAAAACUUAGUACGCAUGUUCCGUAUGAUUUGAUCCUUCUUUUUUUAAUAUCUUUUUUUCAAAACUUUCAAAAAUUGAGUAUUCAGAAGGUCAGGCCGAUAAAAAAAUAUUCUUAGAAGUUUUGACACUCUUGCAACGUUUGCAUGUAACAUUCAAUUUGCGAUUUUUUUCCAAAUAGUGCGCCAGCAAGGAAAGUUUUGUACUAUGACGUCAGAUGCGAUGUUCUGAGGAAAGACAACUCUUUUCUACAAAACGAACGAGAAAAAAACAUGAAAAUUACUCA
rnacentral:lncRNA from 1 species